UUAAGGUGUCAGGACUUGAAAAGUUUCAUUAUAGAGGCUAAAAAGAGUCUAAAAGUCACUGAGUGCAACAUUCUGCUACUCUUGGUCUAGCAAUACCUUUUUUCUUAUAGGAAAAAGGAUAAAUGAGACCAAUGUUUUGCUAGAUAUAAUUAUACUAAUAAAGAGAAGCUGUUUAAGAUUGCCCUUAUGGAAGGUAAUUUAAUUAAAGCUUAAUUUGAAAUAGCAGUCUUCAUACUUCUAGGGCAUGAAAAAAUUUAAAAAACAGAAAAGAGUUCAGUCAACUCAGAGAAGUCAAGUGGUAUAUUUUUGGGGACAGUAACCAAAAGCAAAAGUAUUAGAGUGAGCUGAUACAUUUAAAGAAAUAAAAGUAAGGGCAUAAUUAAAAAUUAUCUUAUUGCAGAGGAAAAAUAGGAAGACUAUCAAGAGAUCAGUUUGAAUAAAUCAUUCACCCUUCUUAGACAAGAGAAUGAGAAAUAUUAAGUAUAGGACUAAGUUCAGUUUACUAAGGAAGAAUUAAAAAAUAAAGCACAGGUGUUUAGGGACGAAAAUAUAAAUUAUAAAGAGAAAAAAAAGGACAUAAGGAUGCGACUGGAUGUGGCACUUAGUACCAUGAUCUAGUAACCACGACAGUGUUGGAUCAAGGUUUGGACUUUAUGAUCUCAGAGGUCUUUUCCAACCCUGUUGAUUCUAUGAUUCUGUGAUUGUAUGACUGCCAGUGCAACUUUUUUGUUCAUAUAUACAUAGACAUUGGAGGUAUCGACAUUGUGGUGGGUUGACCUUGGCUGGAUGCCAGGUGCCCACCCAGCCACUCUAUCACUUGCCUUCCCAGCUGGACAGGGGAGAGAGUAAGAUGGAAAACAACCCAUGGGUACAGGUUAGGCAGUUUAUUUAAACCAAAAGCAAAGCGAAAGCUUGUGCAUGCAAAACCAAAGCAAACGAUAACACAGUUUAUUCUCUACUUCCCAUCAGCAGCAAUGGUUGGCCACUUCCAAGAAUCAAGGCCUCAGCACGUGUGACUGUUCCUCAGCAGGCAUCCAUUGGAGACAAUGAAUGCCUGCCUUCCUGCUCCUUGCCUUAGCUUUUGUAUCUGAGCUGACAUCAUAUGGUGUGGAACAUCCCUUUGGUCAGUUUGGGUCAGCUGACCUACUUGUGCCCCUCCUGGGAUCUUGCCAUCAGUUGAGGAAGGAAUGUUCCAGUGCUGAUGUUGUGCUCAGCAGUAGCCAAAACACUGGUGUGUUAUCAACACCCUUCUGGCUACCAGUGCAAAGCACAGCACUGUGAGGGCUGCUAUGGGGAAAUGAAUUCCAUCCUAACCCUGACCCAAUACAGACAUCUAUAUAUGUAUAUAAGAAAAGUGUGGCCAUGUUAUUCAGAGAUGGGUGAUGUCUUCUUAAAAUGAUUUAUUCCAAACUGAUUCAGAUGAAACAUGGAAACUAGUUUAGAUAGUCCUCAGAUCUUCACUUGUCACUUCCCAAUGUAAUUUGCAGUUUUACUAUUUUAUCUGUUUUUUUUACUCCAAUAAGUGCUAAGUUUAGCAGUAAGGGAGGGAAAAGGAUACCUGACUCUUAAGGAGGUUUGAGGGAUAGUGCAAGAGCAAACUAAAAGCCAGGGCUUAGUGCAUAUACUGUGCUAUGCAAAGUACUCUCUUGUGUUUUGCAAAUCCCAAAAAUUCUCCAAGGUUCUCUGCCUGCCUGUCUACAGUGAAGUGCAUUAGGGAGUGCACUCAUUCCCUUUUCAGUUCUUAGAAGCUGCAAUUCACUGAGAAUUUUUUUCUGUGGUGCUUUAAGGGAUUGUAUCAAUACCCUUGCUAUACCAGAACACAUGUUAAGAGUGAUUCUACCCUCUGCAUUAAGAGGUGGCAAACCUAAGGGAAAAGGACAUACACUAAAACUUGCAGAAUUCCUCAGUACUCAGCAAACCUUUGCCAGCCUGACUUAUGAAAGAGCAGACUGACCACCUAAAUCAUCAUAAGAGUUCCCUUACUUUCUAACUCAGCAAUCACAGAAGGACUAUUAAAUACACCUCUGGGAAACUUAAGGUUUAUUGAUGCAUGCUUGAUGUGAAUUUUAAGUCCAGCUUGUAGUACAUGUCCAGAAUGUUGAUUGACUGAUAUGCUCUGCAAAAAAAUCUUCAAGAACAAAGUUUAAUUCUUAGGUGAAGGCUAUUAUGAAAGACAGAGAUUUUCUUUUUGUCAUGAUCAGCUAAAUCAACAGUAACAUCUUGUCCAUCAGGGAUCUGAAACCUACUCUGAGUAAAAUGCAUGGUUGCAGUUUCCCGCAGCCUUCCUCUGAUGACUGCAGGCAAAAAAGGAAGAUUUUGGAAAGAGUGGGAAGAGUCCUCUUCCUGUAAACCCUUUCCUGGAUUCAAAGGCUUGAAUCCACAAAUGAUGUAUCAUGCUAGCUAAAUAUUUAGAAAACAUAGAUGUAUAUAGACUAAAAAGUGCCAUAGAAUUUAUAUUCUCCAUUUGACUUUCAGGCCAGUAUAGUGCUUUGAGAAUUAGACAUUAUUUUAAUUGUACUGAUUCCUAAGUGAAAUUCAGUCCUGACUCUCUAUUAAAAAGAACACCCAUUAAGUGCUUUCCUAUAUUUAGAGGAGGAUAAAUUUAUGGUUUGUGUGUCACAAGACAUCCCAGCCUCAAGUGAUGAGCUGUGUAUACCACUGACAAGGCUCUUCACAUCAAAAAUAUACCUAUACAUUAACAGUGUAAAAGAAAGGUAACUGUUGUGCAAGACAAAUGCUGUUCCCUCUUUAAUAUGCGUCAUACACUUGCAAUGGCAAUAAAAAGGGACUGAAAAAAACCAGAUGGCAAAACUAUUAUUUGGAACAAUGCUAACAAGUGUCUCUGCUUCCCUGGUUUUUGUAACACUUGUAAACAUGGAGGAGCCUAUACUCAUUCCAAAACAUUAAGGUCUGGGAAGGCUAAAGUCUUGCGACCUCCAGUGAUGAAGCAUUAGAAACAAAUUUAAUAAGAAAAACACUCUUGGAUGACAAAAACAGUGGCAAUGCUGAGCCACAUAUUUUUGGUUUAAUGUGGGAUGUAUUACAUCAGCCACAGAUAUAUUCUCUUAGCCGUAUUUCAUAGCUUUCACUAUGUUCAGACAAAAUACCUCCAGACUGACAGUGGAACAUAUGAACAUCAUAAAUGUUCUAGCACGGAGUUCUAGCUUUUCUUUAACAGAGUUUUGCUAACCUCUUGCCUAACCUCUCCUGUAUUUAAUUCAAUAGCUAAAAAAGUAUAAGGGAAAAAGAAACAAGUAAUAGACAUCAGACUUGUUUAGCAGCAGAAGAGAGUACACAGACUUAUCGCCAUGUUCUUUAUUCCUGAAAUUUCAAUUUGAUGAAGUGCAUCACAACUUGGCACAGGUGAUAUAUGAACAUUAUCAUUCCUCAAGUCAUACUAAAAUAGGAACAGUUGUGACUGAUAUGUUGGCUCUUUUGUGUCAAUUGAGAAAAUAGGAGUUGAGUUGAAACAGAUGACACUGACUGAGUGUUGCUAUGGGCACAUUUGACAAUAAGCAUGUUAUAAUGGCUCAAGUUCUUGAAUGCUGUCAGUAGCAUUUAGAGUUACAGGAAUUUACUGAUCUGUUGGAGUAGCAAACAGAAAUAUUUCGGGAUUUUCUCACCAGAACAGUGAAAAAAAAAAAGCCAUAAGCAUAUGAGUCAUUUUUACUGGUGUUCCAAGGACACCAGGGCCAAUUUUUGAGAAUGAAUGGAUUUCCAAAAUGAAUGGAAAAUAGCAUAUUUAGUGAAAAGUGAUAGCUGUCAUAAUACAAGAUCUACAGCACAUUGUGACAACUAUGCACACUGUGAGGGGAAGAAAAAAACACACAAGAGGUAGUAUUUUACAGUAUGUGGCAGUGUUUUCCCAUAUAAACUGUCUGAGUACAAGAACUGAACAAAUUUUGCAAGUCUGGCGAAAGAUAGUAAGAGAGUUCUGACAUACAUCAUCAUUUCAUGGUUGUUCCUCGCUAUUGGCAUUUCUUGCACAGUUAUGAUGCCCAGAAAUUAAACAGUGACAUUCUUUCAGGGGUGAGAUUCAAAGGCCUCACUGUAGCUAACAGUUCUAAAUUAAUUUUCUAGGGAAUAAAUAAAUAAAAUAUAAAAUUUUUGAGACUGAGGAGGCAGGAAUUAGAAAUAACAAAAGCUAGGAGUUCACAAAGUGUAGGAGGUGUUCAUUGUGCUCAGGUCAAAACAAAUGCUGCAAAAACUGUUCAACAAAGAUGUUUUGCAUCUUCAAAAAUGUUGACAUGUUAUGGUAUUUGGGUUACAUAUUUGGGAAAACUGAAUUUCCUGAAGAAUCAGAGUUUUUUCUUCUGUCUAACUUUGGCCAGUAUUCCAGGAUGUAUCCAUGUGCUAAAACACUUUUUAUUUUGUAGAUAAUACUUCCCCUCUGAUGAAAGGUUUUUUGAGUUACUAUGAAUUAAAUACUUGCUGAUUCCCUUGAAGAAUCCAAGAACAGCAACUCUGCUGAGCCAGUGACAAAAUGAUAGAGAAUAUGGAGAUAUCAGAAGGACUCUCCUGAAAUGCAUUUCUGCAAAAUUGUACGUGGGCAAAUACUGCAACACACUUUCCAGGGAAAGAUGAGUUGAACACUCCAAAUGUCAUGAAGAUUCAAGACCAUUUUUAAGUUUCAAAAUUAUAUUUGACCUUUGGAUACAAGACCCUGAAGCAAGCAGCAAAUGUUACUAUGGAUAGGAGUCAAGGUGUUUCUAGGUCAGUUUUCUUCAACAGUCUGCACUGCAUUAAGUGCAGCUUUUUACUAGUCUGCUUUCACGGUGAAGAUAAUGGAACAAUACUGGGAUGGUUUCUAAAGCUUCUCAUUUUUCAUGCCCUUUCCUGCAAAUUUAUUAGAUGAAAUAAAUGUCUGUGUUACUGAGUAUACCAGCACCUCAUUGUCAGCUGCAGAAAAACUAAUCUUGGCCUUGAAUGAACACACCUAGUGAUAUACACAAAGCUUGGAGAGAAAUGUGUGGAUUGUACAAAGAAAGAGACAAAGACAAGCACCAGGAAGCCCACACAGGUGCAAGGAUCUCUGUCCUGUGUGCACAUGUGUGUCUGGGGAUUUGAGUGCAGCAGAAGGAGUGGGACAAGGGGUCUUAGGGAGACUGUGUGUUUCUGGUGGGAGCAACUGGAGAGAUCUCAGAAGGGGUUCAUUGUGUUCAGGCAAAAGAAGGAAAAUAACUCUUCUUCAACACAGUCAUCCUGUUCCCCACUAUGUUCCUAGAAGCAUUAUUGUGUCGAAUCUACUAAAGUAUGAAUAAAUCUUUUGUGAACAUAGGUGGUCAGUACUGCAUACAUCACCAGUCCUUUCAUGUACAUAUUUUUUUCCACUUGCCUCAUCCGAAAAUGCUUUUUCUGGAUGCAAUUUGUGAUUUCUCUUGUAAUUUUCUUUUUUUGCAUUCUGACCUAUUAGAAUAAUUAUUUGUAAAUGAUAUUGUGCUUGUCUUUGUUUGAACAGCUUCCAAAGCUUUUUAAGACUGUAUUUCCACUUUUUCAAAAAUAUUUUAGACUCCAGCCUAUUCUCUAGCACUUACCUUACCAGUGUUCUGUAGCAUGCCAGCCUCUCUUCUUAUCUUCUUGUUAUUUAAAACACAGAGAUUUAAAACUAUUACUGAAAAGUAC